rnacentral:rRNA from 1 species
UCCAGACUCCUACGGGAGGCAGCAGUGGGGAAUAUUGGACAAUGGGGGGAACCCUGAUCCAGCGACGCCGCGUGAGUGAAGAAGUAUUUCGGUAUGUAAAGCUCUCUCAGCAGGGAAGAAAGAAAUGACGGUACCUGACUAAGAAGCCCCGGCUAACUACGUGCCAGCAGCCGCGGUAAUACGUAGGGGGCAAGCGUUAUCCGGAUUUACUGGGUGCAAAGGGAGCGUAGACGGCAGUGCAAGUCUGAAGUGAAAGGCGGGGGCCCACCCCCCGGACUGCUUUGGAAACUGUGCUGCUGGAGUGCAGGAGAGGCGAGCGGAAUUCCUAGUGUAGCGGUGAAAUGCGUAGAUAUUAGGAGGAACACCAGUGGCGAAGGCGGCUUGCUGGACUGUAACUGACGUUGAGGCUCGAAAGCGUGGGGAGCAAA